AACGAACGCUGGCGGCAGGCCUAACACAUGCAAGUCGAGCGAUCCUUUCGGGGAUAGCGGCGGACGGGUGAGUAACGCGUGGGAACGUACCCUUUGCUACGGAAUAGCCUCGGGAAACUGGGAGUAAUACCGUAUGUGCCCUUGGGGGAAAGAUUUAUCGGCAAAGGAUCGGCCCGCGUUGGAUUAGGUAGUUGGUGGGGUAAUGGCCUACCAAGCCGACGAUCCAUAGCUGGUUUGAGAGGAUGAUCAGCCACACUGGGACUGAGACACGGCCCAGACUCCUACGGGAGGCAGCAGUGGGGAAUCUUAGACAAUGGGGGCAACCCUGAUCUAGCCAUGCCGCGUGAGUGAUGAAGGCCCUAGGGUUGUAAAGCUCUUUCAGCUGGGAAGAUAAUGACGGUACCAGCAGAAGAAGCCCCGGNUAACUCCGUG
rnacentral:rRNA from 1 species